GACGAACGCUGGCGGCGUGCUUAACACAUGCAAGUCGAACGAAGUGGCGAACGGGUGAGUAACGCGUAAUCAACCUGCCCUUCAGAGGGGGACAACAGCUGGAAACGACUGCUAAUACCGCCUACUGAUGGAGGGGAUUGCGUCUGAUUUGCUAGUUGGAGGGGUAACGGCCCACCAAGGCGAGGAUCAGUAGCCGGACGGGGAGGAUGAGCGGCGACAUUGAGACUGGGACACGGCCCAGACUCCUACGGGAGGCAGCAGUAGGGAAUCUUCCGCAAUGGAAGAAAGUCUGACGGAGCAACGCCGCGUGAGUGAGGACGGCCUUCGGGUUGUAAAGCUCUGUUAAUCGGGACGCGGUACCGGAAGAGAAAGCCACGGCUAACUACGUGCCAGCCGCCGCGGUAAUUC
rnacentral:rRNA from 1 species